rnacentral:rRNA from 1 species
AGUGAACGCUGGCGGUAGGCCUAACACAUGCAAGUCGAACGGCAGCACAGUAAGAGCUUGCUCUUACGGGUGGCGAGUGGCGGACGGGUGAGGAAUACAUCGGAAUCUACUUUUUCGUGGGGGCUAACGUAGGGAAACUUACGCUAAUACCGCAUACGACCUACGGGUGAAAGCAGGGGAUCUUCGGACCUUGCGCGAUUGAAUGAGCCGAUGUCGGAUUAGCUAGUUGGCGGGGUAAAGGCCCACCAAGGCGACGAUCCGUAGCUGGUCUGAGAGGAUGAUCAGCCACACUGGAACUGAGACACGGUCCAGACUCCUACGGGAGGCAGCAGUGGGGAAUCUUGGACAAUGGGCGCAAGCCUGAUCCAGCCAUACCGCGUGGGUGAAGAAGGCCUUCGGGUUGUAAAGCCCUUUUGUUGGGAAAGAAAAGCAGCAGGUUAAUACCCCGCUGUUCUGACGGUACCCAAAGAAUAAGCACCGGCUAACUUCGUG